rnacentral:rRNA from 1 species
GAUGAACGCUAGCGGCAGGCUUAACACAUGCCAGUCGAGGGGCAGCGCGGGAUAGCAAUAUCCUGGCGGCGACCGGCGGAAGGGUGCGUAACGCGUGAGCGACAUGCCCGUUGCCCGGGGACAACCGGUGGAAACGCCGACUAAUCCCCGAUGGGAUAUUGUGCCGCAUGGCACGAUAUUGAAAGUUACGGCGGCGACGGAUUGGCUCGCGUCCGAUUAGCUGGUUGGCGGGGUAACGGCCCACCAAGGCUGCGAUCGGUAGGGGUUCUGAGAGGAAGGCCCCCCACAAUGGGACUGAGACACGGCCCAUACUCCUACGGGAGGCAGCAGUGAGGAAUAUUGGUCAAUGGGCGGAAGCCUGAACCAGCCAUGCCGCGUGCGGGAAGGAGGCCCUAUGGGCUGUGAACCGCUUUUGCCUGGGGGCAAUAAGGGCGUCGCGCACGUCCGAUGAGAGUACCAGGCGAAUAAGCAUCGGCUAACUCCGUG